ACGCGGCGAGGGAGGGCAAAGGGGGAAAGCACAAUGCCCUGCUUGUGAGUAACUUUCACAAGCAGGACAUUGUGCUUCCCUUCAGCUGGGUCGCUUUCCACAGAACCCAAGCUGCACCUGUAAUGCUUCUGUUGGUGCCGGUGUCACACAAGCAAAGGUCCUUCCAGGGCCCAAUAUCCCAGAAUAUCCCAGAAUAUCUGCUUUGAACUGGGUUAUCUGAGUCCACAGUGCCAUAUAUCCCAGUUCAGAGCAGAGCAUGUGGGAUUUUAUUCAGCUGUGUGAAAGGGGCCCCGAACAAGCCCUAUAUCCCAGGAUCUGACCCCAGGGUUUCUGUUUAUCCCAGAUUAUCUGUCUGUGGACUCAUAUAAUCCAGUAUAUAGCAGAAAACCUGGUACCGUGUUUCCCUGAAAAUAAGACAGUGUCUUAUAUUAAUUUUUGCUCCCAAAGAUGCGCUAGGCCUUAUUUUCAGGGGAUGUCUUAUUUUUCCAUGAAGAAGAAUUCACAUUUAUUGUUGAACAAAAAAAUGAACAUUUAUUAUAUACUGUACAGUAGUUGUCAUCACAAACCAGCACAACCAGACAAACUGUGAAUCCUAUCAAGAAUUUCUUGUUACUACCAAUAUUUCCAUGUACAACACUCUAUGGUAUGUACAUUUACUGAUCCUGCAUGCUCUGAUUUUCUGUUUGGUGGGCAUGCUUCCAAACAAAAACUCUGUUAGGUCUUACUUUCAGGGGAGGCCUUAUAUUUAGCAAUUCAGCAAAACCUCUACUAGGUCUUAUUUUCUGGGGAUGUCUUAUUUUAGGGGAAACAGGGUAUCAGAUCUGUUAAUGUGGGAUUUGUGUAUUGAUAGUACAGUAGAGUCUCGCUUAUCCAACAUAAACGGGCCGGCAGAAUGUUGGAUAAGCGAAUAUGUUGGAUAAUAAGGAGAGAUUAAGGAAAAGCCUAUUAAACAUCAAAUUAAGUUAUGAUUUUACAAAUUAAGCACGAAAACAUCAUGUUAUACAACAAAUUUGACAGAAAAAGUAGUUCAAUACAUAGUAAUGCUAUGUAGUAAUUACUGUAUUUACGAAUUUAGCACCAAAAUAUCAUGAUGUAUUGAAAACAUUGACUACAAAAAUGCGUUGGAUAAUCCAGAACGUUGGAUAAGCGAGUGUUGGAUAAGUGAGACUCUACUGUAUUUAAAUGCAAUUUGUGUCUUGGUUUGUAUUGCAUACUGAUUGCAUCAUCCAGAGUGUACUAUAGUCUGUAAAGAGUUAAUUACUGAGAAGCUGUGAUGACCUUGAUGUGUGGCUGGAACUGGGGAGUGUCCAGACACAAGUGUGUAUGCAUUACUGAUUGCAUCAGUUGAGUUCUGUUCUGUUCUGAGUUGAGCCAAGUCCUGUGUUCGUCUGCAAGUCUGCUUGUCUUGAUUAUUACUGCUUUCAGUAAAACUUGCAUAUAGUUUUACCAUCGUCUCUGAUGUUUCUUCGUGCUACGUUCCUCUGAUUCCAUCCAACUGCUGCUGCGCUGCGUAAAUUACGCUGACAAGAUCCUGGGAUAUAUGGCAGUGCCCUUUCGACACUCCCAUAUAAUCCAUAUUAAUCUGUUUUGAACUGGAUUGUAUGGCAGUGUGGCUUUAUCCAGUUCAAAUCAGAUAAUCUGGAUUAUUGGCUUUGACCAUCUGAAUUAUAUGGCAGUGUAGAAGGGGUCUUAGUAGACCUCAAGUUGAACAUGAAAUAACAAUAUGAUAAAGCAGUUUUUAAAAACCAAUGGGAUUUGAGGCGGCAUCAAAAGGAAUAUAGGGUUCUUCCAGACAGGCUCUAUAUCCCAGAAUCUGAUCCCAAGUUUUCUGUUUAUCCCAGAUUAUCUGGGUUUCUCCUACGAACCAACGCGAACCCUAAGAUCAUCCGGGGAGGCGCUCCUCUUGCUCCCGCCUUUGUCUCAAAUGCGGCUGGUGGGGACGAGGGAGAGGGCCUUCUCGGCAGUGCCCCCCCUCCCCCCCGGCUCUGGAACUCUCUCCCUAAGGAGAUCAGGUUAGCUCCUUCCCUGCCCAUUUCCCGCCGGGAAUUGAAAACAUGGUUGUUCCAGAGUGUGUUUGAAUGAACAGGCCCAAUAGAGCUGUCAUCAGAAUACUUCUUUAUGUUUUAAAAGCGUAUGGCACUUUAUCACUGUUACUCAUUUCCAUGAUACAGCACUUAACGAAACCUGUCCCCGCUGGGUUGCUUUUAAUUACUCUGAUUUUAUCUGCUUGGAUUUUAAUGUAUUGUCCAUUACUUUAUUUUGUGUAUCGUUGAAAUGUUUUAAGUUUUGUCAAAUGCUGUGUCGUUGUUUCGGGCUUGUCCCUGUUGUGAGCCGCCCCGAGUCCCUUCGAGGAGAUGGGGCAGGAUAUAAAAAUAAAGUUUAUUUAUUAUUAUUAUUAUUAUUAUUAUUAUUAUUAUUAUUAUUUAUGUAAUCCGGUUUAAAGCAGAAAACCUGGGGCUCUUCCACACAGCCAUAUAACCCAGAAUAUCAAGGCAGGUAAUCUACAAUAUCUGCUUUGGAUUAUCUUGAGUCCACACUGCCAUAUAAUCCAGUUCAAUGUGGAUUUUAUACAGCUGUGUGGAAGGGCCCUAGGAUCAGAACCUGGGGUAAAGGGCCUGUCUGGGGGGGGGCAUUGUGUCUAGAUUGUGGGAAGUCGUGGUGCUUUGGUCAGACCUCACCUGGAAUAAUGUGUCCAAUUCUGGGCACCACAGUUCAAAAGAGAUAUUGACAAGUUGGAAGGUGUCCAGAUGGGGGCGAGUAAAAGGAUCAAAGGUUUGGAAACCAGGCAGACCCUAUGAGGAGCAUCUUAAAAAUCUGGGAAUGUUUAGCCUGCAAAAGAAAAGGUUGAGAAGAGACAUAGACAUGGGAAUGAGUCUCAUAAGGAAGGGGGAGCAGGCAUGUUUUGGCUGCCCUAGAAACUAACUAGGAUUGGGUUAGCAAUGGGUCCAAAUUACAGGAAAGGACAUUCCUUCUGAACAUUAGAAAUAACUUCCUGACCGUACUAGCUGUUCAACAGUGGAACUCUUUGCCUCGCAGUGUGACGGAAGCUCCUUCCUUGGAAACUUUUAAACAGAGGCUGAAUGGCCAUCGGUUUUGUUUCAGUAGACUAAGAAAAUACCUCAGCAUAAACAAGUGAAUUGGGAUGACAAUUCAUGUGAGGGCUGGAAUGAAAUAUUGAAGAGAGAAAUCCUCAUGGAGCAAGAUGAAGUGAACAAUCCUCUUGUUCAGAAUAUCUACAAAACAAAAGCCCACAUGUUGAAGGAUGGUACAUGCCCUAAAUGUCACAUUAAAUAGUCACAGUUGAUUCUA